UCGGCAAUGGGCGAAAGCCUGACCGAGCGACGCCGCGUGCGGGAUGAAGGCCCUCGGGUUGUAAACCGCUGUCGUUGGGGAGGAAAUGCAUGGGGGCUAUCCCUCAUGUUUGACCUAUCCAAGGAGGAAGUACGGGCUAAGUUCGUGCCAGCAGCCGCGGUAAGACGAACCGUACAAACGUUAUUCGGAAUUAUUGGGCUUAAAGGGUGCGUAGGCUGCGCGGAAAGUUGGGUGUGAAAGCCCUCGGCUCAACCGAGGAAUUGCGCCCAAAACUGCCGUGCUCGAGGGAGACAGAGGUGAGCGGAACUCAAGGUGGAGCGGUGAAAUGCGUUGAUAUCUUGAGGAACACCGGUGGCGAAAGCGGCUCACUGGGUCUCUUCUGACGCUGAGGCACGAAAGCCAAGGUAGCAAACGGGAUUAGAUACCCCGGUAGUCUUGGCCGUAAACGAUGAGCACUUGAUUGGAGGGUCCUCCAUAGCCUUCCAGUCGUAGCGAAAGUGUUAAGUGCUCCGCCUGGGGAGUAUGGUCGCAAGGCUGAAACUCAAAGAAAU
rnacentral:rRNA from 1 species